CAUACCUAUUCGAAGGGAUAGGGUCGGUUUGGCCGGAUUUCACACAGGUGUUGCAUGGCUGUCGUCAGCUCGUGUCGUGAGAUGUUGGGUUAAGUCCCGCAACGAGCGCAACCCUCAUCCUUAGUUACCAUCAGGUUAUGCUGGGGACUUUAAGGAAACUGCCAGUGAUAAACUGGAGGAAGGUGGGGAUGAUGUCAAGUCAUCAUGGCCCUUAUGGAGUGGGCUACACACGUGCUACAAUGGUGAUUACAAUGGGCUGCAAGGUCGCAAGGCUGAGCUAAUCCUAAAAAAUCAUCUCAGUUCGGAUUGUUCUCUGCAACUCGAGAGCAUGAAGUUGGAAUCCCUAGUAAUCGUGGAUCAGCAUGCCACGGUGAAUACGUUCUCGGGUCUUGUACACACUGCCCGUCACGCCAUGGGAAUUGGUUUCACUCGAAGCU
rnacentral:rRNA from 1 species